UGGGGAGUCGUUCAAUGGUAGGACAUCGGCCUUUGACGCCGAGUAUCUAGGUUCGAAUCCUAGCUCCCCAGCCA
rnacentral:tRNA from 1 species